UGGGUCCCUGCCCUGAGUCGUACAAGAUGGCUGCCAUGUCAUCUUUGGUCUGCAGGGGGCAUAGAGUAAGGGGGCUUUGUCUACACUCAGUGUUCUGAAACCCUUGAGCACUCAGAAUGGUUAAUAGCCUUACAUUU
rfam:Pelodiscus sinensis unplaced genomic scaffold scaffold330, whole genome shotgun sequence.